rnacentral:misc_RNA from 1 species
AACGCACAUUGCGCCCGCUAGUAUUCUAGCGGGCAUGCCUGUUCGAGCGUCAUUUCAACCCUCAAGCCCUGCUUGGUGUUGGGGCCCUACAGUCUCUGUAGGCCCUGAAAACUAGUGGCGGGCUCGCUAUAACUCCGAGCGUAGUAGUAAUAUCUCGCUUAGGACGUGAUGGCGGGAUCCGGCCGUUAAACCCCUAAGUUUCUGAAUGUUGACCUCGGAUCAGGUAGGAAUACCCGCUGAACUUAA